UGUAUUUGAGAAUAACCAAGGAACAAAUUCCACUUGUCAAGAUGCCAGACAUUUCAUUUCCAGAACUGGGAAAACAAAUGAUUUUAGGAAGAUAAAGGGUUGGCAAGGAAGAUUUCACAGUGCUUCUAGGCAAGAAGUUCUCAGUGUUCCAUGAAGCUGGAAUAUGACCAGGAAAGAGGACUCAG